rnacentral:rRNA from 1 species
UACGUAGGGUGCGAGCGUUGUCCGGAAUUAUUGGGCGUAAAGAGCUUGUAGGCGGUUUGUCGCGUCUGCUGUGAAAAUCCGGGGCUCAACCCCGGACUUGCAGUGGGUACGGGCAGACUAGAGUGUGGUAGGGGAGACUGGAAUUCCUGGUGUAGCGGUGAAAUGCGCAGAUAUCAGGAGGAACACCAAUGGCGAAGGCAGGUCUCUGGGCAGUUACUGACGCUGAGGAGCGAAAGCAUGGGUAGCGAACAGGAUUAGAUACCCGGGUA